GACGAACGCUGGCGGCGUGCUUAACACAUGCAAGUCGAACGAGAAAGCCCUUCGGGGUAAGUACAGUGGCGAACGGGUGAGUAACACGUGGGCAACCUGCCCCAGAGAGCGGGACAACCCGGGGAAACCCGGGCUAAUACCGCAUGAUGCGUCUCCACUUAAGUGGAGCCGCCAAAUGGUAGCUUCGGCCUCCGCUCUGGGAUGGGCCCGCGCCGGAUUAGCUAGUUGGUUGGGGUAACGGCCCACCAAGGCGACGAUCCGUAGCUGGUCUGGGAGGACGAUCAGCCACACUGGGACUGAGACACGGCCCAGACUCCUACGGGAGGCAGCAGUGGGGAAUCUUGCGCAAUGGGCGAAAGCCUGACGCAGCAACGCCGCGUGGGGGAAGAAGGCCUUCGGGUUGUAAACCUCUUUCAGUAGGGACGAAGCUUCCGGGGUUAAUAGCCUACGGGGUGACGGUACCUACAGAAGAAGCCCCGGCUAACUACGUGCCAGCAGCUGCGGUAA
rnacentral:rRNA from 1 species